rnacentral:tRNA from 1 species
GGCACUUUGGCGGAGUGGUUAACGCGAUGCCCUGCUAUUGAGAUCAAUUGAUAGGAAGGCAUUCCCUUCGGGGGCGUGUGUUCGAAUCACACAGGUGUCG